rnacentral:ncRNA from 1 species
UUAUGAUAGAGGCGCAGGUGCUAUCAGUAAGGUGCGGCGAGGGCUUUCGCAAAGCUAUGGCGCACACGAAAGGGGUAUCUGCCGAAGAGAUCGAGGCGCAAGAUUUUCUGGGCGUGCGGAUAAUAUCCGUCCGACUGUCGCAGAUGCGGAGUGCUAUCUU